rnacentral:rRNA from 1 species
AGAGUUUGAUCAUGGCUCAGAACGAACGCUGGCGGCAUGCCUAACACAUGCAAGUCGAACGAGACCUUCGGGUCUAGUGGCGCACGGGUGCGUAACGCGUGGGAAUCUGCCCUUGGGUUCGGAAUAACAGUUGGAAACGACUGCUAAUACCGGAUGAUGUCUUCGGACCAAAGAUUUAUCGCCCAGGGAUGAGCCCGCGUAAGAUUAGCUAGUUGGUGGGGUAACGGCCUACCAAGGCGACGAUGCGUAGCUGGUCUGAGAGGAUGAUCAGCCACACUGGGACUGAGACACGGCCCAGACUCCUACGGGAGGCAGCAGCCAGGAAUCUUGGGCAAUGGGCGAAAGCCUGACCCAGCAACACCGUGUGGGCGAUGAAGGCCUUAGGGUCGUAAAGCCCUGUUGAUAGGGACGAAGGGCGAAGGGUUAAUAGCCCCUAGCUUGACGGUACCUUUCGAGGAAGCCCCGGCUAACUACGUGCCAGCAGCCGCGGUAAUACGUAGGGGGCGAGCGUUGUCCGGAAUUAUUGGGCGUAAAGAGCGUGUAGGCGGUUCGGUAAGUCUGCUGUGAAAUCCUGGGGCUCAACCCUGGGCGUGCAGCGGAUACUGCCGGGCUAGAGGGUGGUAGAGGCGAGUGGAAUUCCGAGUGUAGCGGUGAAAUGCGCAGAUAUUCGGAGGAACACCAGUAGCGAAGGCGGCUCGCUGGGCCACACCUGACGCUGAGACGCGAAAGCGUGGGGAGCGAACAGGAUUAGAUACCCCCGUAGUCC